rnacentral:lncRNA from 1 species
AACCAGUGAUUUUGACAAGGCAAUUAAGCUAUAAAACUGAAGACAAUUCACAAUCACAAAGGGGGAAUUCCGCAGAGGAAAAAAUAAAACACUAUGUUUUGAUGGAGUUCAUCAUCGUUCAUGACAAAAAGUAGAGCCUAGUAAUAUGGUGAGGCCUCACGGGGAUCCCUACAACAAGAAAAAUGAACUAACGAAUGAGCAGUAACAACACUAAUUGGACACAAACAGGGGCGGCGCCACCGUAUGGGCUGGUAUGGGCGGCCGCCCCGGGUAGCCGGAAUGUGUGUCCUUAAAACCCCCGCCAGUCUUGCCUCCUAGCAUACAGUGUUACAGGCCUGCACAAUGAACCGACUCGGGUGACUUGAAAUCCUAGAUCCGCCAUUGGAAACAAAUAACUUUCUUUUGGAACUGAAUAUUGGUAUCUACAUGAGAUCAAAGAAACAGUAAAAGAACUUGCCAAGAAAAUUAACAUCUACCAAAGUCCCAAAAUGCAAGUUGAAGAAAAAUUGCAAGUGGCUUGAUGCCAAGGUUGUAUCCAUGCUGGCGUUAGGAACACUAACGGGUAUAUGCACUGCAACACAAGAGUAUAAAUCACCAAUACUAAGAGAAAGCAUGCUAUGAGCAAUUUCCACAAAGUAGUACUGAAAGAAAAGAAACAAUAUGGAGAAAGAUUUGAC